rnacentral:tRNA from 1 species
GGAGCGGUGUCCGAGCGGUUGAUGGAUCUGGUCUUGAAAACCAGCGAACUCGUAAGGGUUCCGGGGGUUCGAAUCCCCCCUGCUCCG